GGGUGUGUAGUUUAAUGGUAAAACAUCAUCUUUACAUGGUGAUUUUAGCGGUUCAAUUCCGUUCACGCCUACCA
rnacentral:tRNA from 1 species